rnacentral:rRNA from 1 species
CCUACGGGAGGCAGCAGUGGGGAAUAUUGCUCAAUGGGGGAAACCCUGAAGCAGCGACGCCGCGUGAAGGAUGACGGUUUUCGGAUUGUAAACCUCUUUUUUUAGGGAAGAAAAUUACGGUACCUGACCAAUAAUCCCCGGCUAACUCCGUGCCAGCAGCCGCGGUACUACGGAGGGUGCAAGCGUUAUCCGGAUUGACUGGGCGUAAAGGGGGCGUAGGCGGGUAAGUAAGUCAGGUGUGAAAGCCUGUGGCUCAACCACGGGACUGCUGUGGAAACUGUUUCGCGGGAGUGAGGGAGAGGUAGGCGGAAUUCGUGGUGUAGGGGUGAAAUGCGUAGAUAUCAGGAGGAAUAC